GCUUGUCUCAAAGAUUAAGCCAUGCAUGUCUAAGUAUAACUCUUUUACUUUGAAAACUGCGAACGGCUCAUUAUAUCAGUUAUAGUUUCUUUGAUAGUCCCUUACUACUUGGAUACCCGUAGUAAUUCUAGAGCUAAUACAUGCGUAAAAUCCCGACUCUCGCGGGGAGGGAUGUAUUUAUUAGAUAAAAAACCAAUGCGGGGCAACCCGGUUUUGUGGUGAAUCAUAGUAACUUUUCGGAUCGCAUAGCUUCACGCUGGCGAUAGUUCAUUCAAAUUUCUGCCCUAUCAGCUUUCGACGGUAGUGUAGUGGACUACCGUGGCGUUAACGGGUGACGGAGAAUUAGGGUUCGAUUCCGGAGAGGGAGCCUGAGAAACGGCUACCACAUCCAAGGAAGGCAGCAGG
rnacentral:rRNA from 1 species